rnacentral:lncRNA from 1 species
AAGGGGCGGGACCAGGACCGGUCCCUAAGAGCUGUGCGGUUUCGCAGCUCUUCCUUUUCCGCGCUGCCGCGGAGAAUGGGAGGUGUUCUUUCGCCAUGGUGGCCGGGUGGUGAAGGAGCCUGUGGGCCCGGUGCCGGGUUCUUCGAGGUGAGAGUCCUCGGGAUCUUAGUCUCUCCUCUCUUCCGUACCAAGUUCCUGCGCCUUGUGGGUGCCGGCCGCGUCGGUGCUUUACCCUAGCGCACCGAGCCUUCAGCGGCCGCGGGCUGGACGCUGGAGGUUACGUAACGCUCCUCCCUGUGGACGUGGCCUAGAGAGUUCCCUUCGUGUCGUUCGCGUAGUUGCGUUUUAUAAGUAACUACCUGCGGGCCUUAGUUGAUCUUAUUCCACAGUAAACACUGGUUUCGAAAGGGUCUUCUGUGACCCGGGAGAGUUGAGGAAGGAACGUCCUGCGGCUUCGUAACCCCCCACUCCCCCACCCCCGCACCUUCGACCGAUUCCCCUUAGUCCCCAGCAAAGCUCGACUUUGGAGGUUUCAGGCUCCCUUGAGUGGGCGGUUUCAUUUUCCUUAAGGGGGCAUUUUAUAAAGAUUAUUUUCUUUUAAAUGCUAAAGACACUUAACCGUACAAAAUCGAGGGGUUUGGAAAAAGCAGUAAGCGCCGCUUAACCACUGAUCUCAACGUAUUUGUAGAAUUCUGGCAUUUGUUCCUGAAUCGCCCUUGUAAAUAUAAAAGGCUUUGAAGCUGGAUAACAGAACGUGGAAGUAUGGAAGGCCUUUGGGCCACAAAUGCCUACUGUACACAUAGAUCUUGCGUUUACAUGGAAAUGUGUGUUUCUGGACAUUACACAGAAGAUUCCAGUCUACAGCUGGGAGAUUAGGAAAAAACAUGUUACCUCUUUAAAAAGCUAAAUAUUCAUAAACAUAUCCCACUAGUUGCUGUUUGCUUCCUGCCUUCCACCCACAGGUACCCACCAUCUGGAAUUUUGUGAGUCUGGGGUGUUUUGUUGUUGUUUGAGGGAGUGAUGUAGAUUGCAAUUUCGUUAAUAACAUGCAUUUCUAGAUCUUCGCUAAGUUUUAAAAAUGCAUGAACUCUCUGUAAAUUAAACAAUUUUUCAUUUUGGAACUAUUCUUUACCAAGUUUAUAUUGUUUUCCUAGUAUUGAUUGUGUGAAACAUUAAAGACUUGAAGUUGAUAAAUUGUUUUGCAAGUUCCAGUUUUACAUGUCUUCAUAAAUCAUUUCCAGUAGCUGUCUGGUUCAGUGAUUUAUCCUCUUGGGGUGCUGUAGGACAUGAUUUGUGACUCUGGCCAUUCCUUAUCACUACUUAGUGCACUUUCAGUCAACUUGCCAACAUAGGUAUCCUUGCCCUAAAACUACUAGAUUUGCCGUUGUAAUGUUUUUAGAUGAAGGUCUGCACACUUUUUUCUGUACAUCUAACCUUUACCCUUGCUCAUAGUUCAUCCUGUCAAGCUUUGAGACAGAAAAGCAAUGGCUUUGAUAUUCACAAGAGUCCAUCCUGUCUUAAAAUCAAUACUGCUGCCACAGUUAUUAAAAAACAGUUUCUGCAGAUUUUCCUGCCCUUACUAAUAACUCAACAUUUCUAGCUUGUAAAGAAUCUGAUUUAUGGAAUUAUGACUUGAGAGCUAGUUUGUAAAAUAUGAUUGUGUUUAUGCUUCUGACAAGAAUGAAAUUCUCAUUGGACUCUUGCCACACAUAAGGUGCCAAAUAGAAGUAUGAGAAUUCACAAUUGAAUAUUUUUGUUUCUAGGUACAACAUCCAGUGGCAUGAAGAUGUAUGAAGGUGGUUGGAACAAAUGCUCUUAAAAACUUGUCAUAGAAGAUGACUGAAGAAAAUGAGUAGGACCACAUUUGACAUGUAACACGGUACCAUAGUGUGUGCUUUUCUUUUUCUUUGUGAUAGUCUAAACCAAAAUGUGUAAUAUAUUCUUGACACAGAUCGAUUUAACCACUGGCACAGUGAUGACAAAUUUUUGCCGUUUACCCAGCUGAGGGUUUUCUUUGAAGAAAUAAUUUUAAGACUGAGGUGCCAGUAAUAUAUAUUGAUUAUGUGAAUUACUGAAAUAUACUGUUUUUGUUGAAAUGAGUGAAAUGUUCUUUCUCUUUCUCUUCUGCAUAUAGGCAGCUAUCAAUGAAUGCUCCAGUCCUUUUGAUGUAGUGUUUAAAAAUACAUCCUUGCCUCAAGUAAGUGUGACUUCUCAAUCACCACAUCCUUUUUUCUUCUUAUUCUCUUUUUUUUUUUUUUUUGGUGGUGCUGGGGAUUGAACCCAGGGCUUUGUGCAUGCAAGGUAAGCACUCUACCAACUGAGCUAAAUCCCCAGCCUCAAGCACCACAUAUUUUGAUGGCUCAGAAGCAUUUGAACUCCAAAAGACUGGGACCAGUUUCUUUUUAAGUUGCCUUUGCAUAUUUGGGGUGUGUUUUCCUUUUCUUAGCAUUAUUAUUAUUAUUAUUAUUAUUAUUUUGAGGAUAUUGAGCUUGAGUUUCUGAAUUUGGGUAAAAGUGAUUUUCACUGUUGCUUUCUUAUUUUCCAGAGGUGUGGCAUGCAACAUUGUGAAAGGAAAAAAAAAAAGAAUUUAUGAAGAAAACAAAUAGAAACAAACUAUGAAAUUUUUAUUUGAUAUUAAUAAACAAUAAAUUAUGUGGUAAAAUACAUGUGUGACAA